ensembl:lncRNA
UUCUUCAUCGAAGUGACCAAAGUCGUCUUCUGGGAGAAGCACAAAUCCCGGAUGGCUAACUGCUUACUGUGUUUGCUCCCUGUAGUUUACAUUUUGAGGUAAUAUUUUGCUAGUCGUGCCUAUCGGGGCGGACAUGGGCUGAAAAAUAAAAAGGCCGUCUGAAGGGUAUUAACACAGGAGCACCUAUAGGGCACUACAGCUAAUCCAUCCCCCCCCCCUCCCCCACCAUGUAGGGAAGCCUAUUGGGCAAUUCAUCUCAUUUUAUCAGAUGUAGGGAAGCCUAUUGGGCAAUUCAUCUCACCCACCCCAACAUGCAGAGAAGCCUAUAGGGCACUUCAUCUCAUUUUAUCGGAUGUAGGGAAGCCUAUAGGGCACUGCAUGCCAUUUUCCUGCAUGUAAGGAAGACUAUAGGGCACUACAUCUUGUUUUCCUAGUUGUAGGGAAGCCUAUAUGGCACUUUAUCUCAUUUUCUCGGAUUUAGGGAGGUCUAUAGGACACCACCUAAUUUCCUUGGAUGUUGGGAAGCCUAUAGGGCACUACAUCUUGUUUCCCUAGUUGUAGGGAAGCCUCUAUCCACUGCAUUUCAUUUCUUAUAUGUAGGAAACCUGUAGGGCACUUCAUCUCAUUUUCUUGGAUGUAGUGAAGCCUAUAUGGCACUAUUUCUCUUUUUUUCAGUUGUAGGGAAGCCUAUAGGGCAUACAUGUCAUUUUCUUGCAUGUAUGGAGGCCUAUAGUGCACUACAUCCCAUUUUUACAGAUGUAGGGAAGCCUAUAGAGCACUUCAUCUCAUUUUUCAGUUGUAGGGAAGUCUAUAGGGCAGUACAUCUUAUUUUCUCAGUUAUAGGAAAGCCUAUAUGGCAGUACAUCUAAUUUUCUUGUAUGUAGGGAAGCCUAUUGGGCACUUCAUCUCACCCCCCCUCCAACCCCACAUGUAGGAAAGCCUAUAGCACACUUCAUCUCAUUUUAUCGGUUGUAGGGAAGCCUUUAGGGCACUGCAUCUUGUUUUCCUAGUUGUAGGGAAGCCUAUAUGGCACUUUAUCUCAUUUUCUCGGAUGUAGGGAAGUCUAUAGGACACCACCUAAUUUCCUUGGAUGUAGGAAAGCCUAUAGGGCACUAUUUCUCUUUUUUUCAGUUGUAGGGAAGCCUAUAGGGCAUAUAUCUCAUUUUCUUGCAUGUAUGGAAGCCUAUAGUGCACUACAUCCCAUUUUUACAGAUGUAGGGAAGCCUAUAGAGCACUUCAUCUCAUUUUUCAGUUGUAGGGAAGCCUAUAGGGCAGUACAUCUCAUUUUCUUGUAUGUAGGGAAGCCUAUAGGGCACACCAUCAUUUAUAGAGUUAAUAUUGUGAGAAAUGGAAAAAAAAACCUUUCCUGAUUCAUUUGAGUCAAUGAGUCAGUGACUUGUGAUUCAUUUAAGGUAUGUGCCAUUAUUCA